AGUGAACGCUGGCGGUAGGCCUAACACAUGCAAGUCGAACGGCAGCACAGUAAGAGCUUGCCCUUACGGGUGGCGAGUGGCGGACGGGUGAGGAAUACAUCGGAAUCUACUUUUUCGUGGGGGAUAACGUAGGGAAACUUACGCUAAUACCGCAUACGACCUACGGGUGAAAGCAGGGGAUCUUCGGACCUUGCGCGAUUGGAUGAGCCGAUGUCGGAUUAGCUAGUUGGCGGGGUAAAGGCCCACCAAGGCGACGAUCCGUAGCUGGUCUGAGAGGAUGAUCAGCCACACUGGAACUGAGACACGGUCCAGACUCCUACGGGAGGCAGCAGUGGGGAAUAUUGGACAAAGGGCGCAAGCCUGAUCCAGCCAUACCGCGUGGGUGAAGAAGGCCUUCGGGUUGUAAAGCCCUUUUGUUGGGAAAGAAAAGCAGCAGGUUAAUACCCCGCUGUUCUGACGGUACCCAAAGAAUAAGCACCGGCUAACUUCGUG
rnacentral:rRNA from 1 species